ensembl:snRNA U7 U7 small nuclear RNA
CAGUGUAACAGCUCUUCUGUAAUUUGUCUAGCAGGUUUUCUGGUUCUUCAUGAGAACCCCU